rnacentral:rRNA from 1 species
UACAGAGGCCCCAAGCAUUACCCGGAAUCACUGGGCGUAAAGGGUGUCAAGGCGGUCAUAUUAGUCGUUCGUAAAAUCCGUGAGCUUAACUUACGGCCCGCGAACGAAACGGUAUGACUCGAGGGCGCGAGAGGUGCACGGAACUCAUGGUGGAGGGGUGAAAUCCGUUGAUAUCAUGGGGAACACCGAAAGCGAAGGCAGUGCACUGGCGCGUUCCUGACGCUCACACACGAAAGCCAGGGGAGCGAACGGG